rnacentral:rRNA from 1 species
GAUCCUGGCUCAGAAUCAACGCUGGCGGCGUGCCUAACACAUGCAAGUCGCACGAGAAAGGGUAGCAAUACCUGAGUAAAGUGGCGCACGGGUGAGUAACACGUGAAUUAUCUACCUCCGAGUGGGGAAUAACUGAGAGAAAUCUUAGCUAAUACCGCAUAACACUUACGAGUCAAAGCAGUAAUGCGCUUGGAGAGGAGUUCGCGGCAGAUUAGUUAGUUGGCGGGGUAAUGGCCCACCAAGACGAUGAUCUGUAUCCGGCCUGAGAGGGCGCACGGACACACUGGAACUGAAACACGGUCCAGACUCCUACGGGAGGCAGCAGUGGGGAAUUUUGCGCAAUGGGGGAAACCUUGACGCAGCAACGCCGCGUGGAGGAUGAAAUCCCUUGGGAUGUAAACUCCUUUCGAUAGGGAAGAUUAUGACGGUACCUAUAGAAGAAGCCCCGGCUAACUUCGUGCCAGCAGCCGCGGUAAUACGAGGGGGGCAAGCGUUGUUCGGAUUUAUUGGGCGUAAAGGGUGCGUAGGCGGUUUGGCAAGUCUUGUGUGAAAUCUUUGGGCUCAACCCAAAGCCUGCACAAGAAACUGCCGGGCUUGAGUAUGGGAGAGGUGAGUGGAAUUUCCGGUGUAGCGGUGAAAUGCGUAGAUAUCGGAAGGAACACCUGUGGCGAAAGCGGCUCACUGGACCAU